GAGUUUGAUCUUGGCUCAGAGUGAACGCUGGCGGCAGGCCUAACACAUGCAAGUCGAGCGGCAGCGCGGGGGCAACCCUGGCGGCGAGCGGCGGACGGGUGAGGAAUGCAUCGGAAUCUACCUCGUUGUGGGGGAUAACCUCGGGAAACCGGGACUAAUACCGCAUACGACCUACGGGUGAAAGUGGGGGACCGCAAGGCCUCACGCGAUGAGAUGAGCCGAUGCCGGAUUAGCUAGUUGGCGGGUAAAGGCCCACCAAGGCGACGAUCCGUAGCUGGUCUGAGAGGAUGAUCAGCCACACUGGAACUGAGACACGGUCCAGACUCCUACGGGAGGCAGCAGUGGGGAAUAUUGGACAAUGGGCGCAAGCCUGAUCCAG
rnacentral:rRNA from 1 species